CCCUUAGAUGUUCUGGGCCGCACGCGUGCUACACUGAGUGGAUCAGCGGGUCAGGUUGCGCGAAAGCGUUUCCUAAUCUUUAAAUCCGCUCGUGAUGGGGAUUGACGGUUGCAAUUUUCUGUCAUGAACGAGGAAUACCUGGUAAGCGCGGGUCAUCAUCCCGCGCUGAAUACGUCCCUGCCCUUUGUACACACCGCCCGUCGCUCCUACCGAUUGAGUGGUCCGGUGAGGCUUUGGGAUCUGAGCGGAAAGAGCGUUUCGCUGUUUCUGCUCGGAAAACUCAGUCGAACCUUAUCAUUUAGAGGAAGGAGAAGUCGUAACA
rnacentral:rRNA from 1 species